AAAAGUAGUUUUGCCAUUUUUCAAAAUGACCCAUAAAAACGUUGCUAUAUCUCUUAUGACAAAGAGUGUGCAUCUACAUAUUCGACUUGUUUUUUGUUCGUAAAAUUGGAGAAAUUGAGGACACAACUCCAAUUCCUAGCAUGCUUUCUCCCUAAGACUAUGCUGGUCCUAGUCGGGGAGUGGCAUUUACAUCCCAGAAAGACACACAUGUAUCACCUCGUGUUGGCACUUCCAUUGCAAUGCACAACUCUGACAUAUAUAGUGCCGACAUUUCCUUCCUUAAGCUUGAAAAAAGUACUGUGUCAGGAACGUGUUGAUGUAAAAUCUUUCAGUUUUGAUGGAUCUUAUUACAAGCUUUCAACUCUUCUUAGCACGACUUCUGACAGAACAAAGUCAUCACAAUCUGGACAAGAAUGAUGACCAUCAAAAUAACAAACAUGUGAUCAUCCAUGAGAAUCCAUUUGUUCAAGAGUCACAUCUUCAAGAAUCUACUGUAGAAACUCAACAGGAACAAAAAUGAACAACGCCUCAACAUCAAGAGUAGUCAGGCAGUGAUAUUAGCAUAUAUGGCAGAGAUGCACAUUUGAUAUUAACUAUAAGUAAUAUAGCAGAAAAUAUGGAAGGUCAUACUCAAACAGAAAAGGGAUUGCUAGAAAUGAUUGAAAAUCUUCCGUUGGUAAGCCAACCACUUCCACUUUGUGAGAUGCUACCAUUAACUACUGUCAAAGGUCUUGCAUUAGUUUAAUUGGUAUGUGUGCCCUAAAGGGAUAAAAGCUCUUGGCAGUGAAAGAUUUUACAAAACCAUUCAUCAAUUUUAAUUUGAAAAUUCCAAAAUACCAGUACAUUGACAAUAUUUAGAAUCAAAGUUCUAAAUAAAGAACUAAAUAUGCUUUUAAAUUAAAAGAUACAUAGAACUGACUCUUGUUGACGUCUUUGAAUCUAUAAUCCACCGAAUUGGGGACACCACCCGUUGGAGACCUUCCUAUCUUCGAAGAUGAGAUUGGUUUGUGGAAAACAAUUGGAAUGAAAAAAAAAAUUUAGAGAGAAACUAUGUAACACCCCCAAUAUCAAGGUAUUUCUCUCAAGCUAAAUUUUUAAAAUUUUAUUAAGAUUUUAAGGAAUUUGGUUGUGGUGUGGAUUUAGCAGGAAGUGAAGGGGGCUUUUAUGAAAAAAUAUACUAAUACUAAAGGUUAAAUAAUAAUAAUAGAAUUAAUGUUAUUAUUAAUUUAAAAUAUCAAUUCUUUAUUGAUUCACGUGCAACCCCAUCUCUUUCUCCUUCACUCUUCCUCUUCCCCGUGCCCACCGCCGCCUGCCUCCCUUAGCCAUUUUAUAUUACUCUUGGACGUCAGCCGGCCACGCCGUCACCGAUCCCUUCGUCUCCGUUGAAGCCGAAGCACCGUUCGCCGUGAGUUCGAACUCUCGGCAUCGCGUCUCACCUCUGUUUUCCAGCCAAGCUGUGAUUCAUUCGCGCGUAGCUCCUUCGACGUUCGCGCCACCACAUUCUGCUCCAGGUGACGAGGAGCGUCACCGAUUGACCUAUCAUCUCACCGGCGUUGUUACUUAGUUGAAGCAGCCGUCGACCAGACCUGAGCCCGUCACGUCUGUUGAAGUGCCGUCGCGCGGCUCUUCACCUUCCAGCCAUGGGUUGUAAGCUGAAGUUUGUUUUUCGUUUGUUGAUUAGAUCUGAUCUAUUACACGCGUCGAUUCCAGUUAUUCGAAGUUGUUGCCCCCAUUUUACUCUAAUUUUUGGGAUUUUUGUGGUAAGUUGUAUUGGUGAGUGUGGUGGUUUUACAUUGUAAUUAUCCUUGGGUUGUAGUUUUGGAUAAUUAGUUAAAUUGUUAAUUGAUUCUUGAAGUUAGCGUUUGAGUUCUUUGGAUUCACAA